rnacentral:rRNA from 1 species
UACAGAGGUGGCAAGCGUUGUUCGGAAUUACUGGGCGUAAAGGGCGCGUAGGCGGCCAUCUAAGUCAGACGUGAAAUCCCCCGGCUUAACCUGGGAACUGCGUCUGAUACUGGAAGGCUUGAGUAUGGGAGAGGGAUGUAGAAUUCCAGGUGUAGCGGUGAAAUGCGCAGAUAUCAGGAGGAACACCGGUGGCGAAGGCGGGUCUCUGGGCAACAACUGACGCUGAGGAGCGAAAGCGUGGGGAGCGAACAGG